rnacentral:rRNA from 1 species
AGUGAACGCUAGCGGUGCGCCUAACACAUGCAAGUCGCGCGAGGCCUCGAGCCGAGCGGCGAACGGCUGCGUAACACGUUGGUACCUGCCCCAGAUUCAGGGAUAACCCGGGGAAACUCGGGCUAAUACCGGAUGGUCCCGUAAGGGUAAAGCUUCGGCGAUCUGGGAGGGGCCUGCGGCCUAUCAGCUAGUUGGUAAGGUAACGGCUUACCAAGGCUAUGACGGGUAGCUGGUCUGAGAGGACGACCAGCCAGAAUGGGACUGAGACACGGCCCAUACUCCUACGGGAGGCAGCAGUGAGGAAUCUUCCGCAAUGGGCGAAAGCCUGACGGAGCGACACCGCGUGAAGGAUGAAGCUGGUUUCCAGCGUAAACUUCUGUUCUGAGGGACGAAAUUUUUGACGGUACCUCAGGAGAAAGCACCGGCUAAUCCCGUGCCAGCAGCCGCGGUAAGACGGGAGGUGCAAGCGUUACUCGGAAUUACUGGGCGUAAAGCGUCCGCAGGUGUCCUGCCACG